CGUUUGUGUCUGCCUGCAGCAAAUGGAGCGGUUCAAAAUAGUGGAGAGAGAAACCAAGACGAAGGCGUACUCUAAAGAAGGGCUGGGUCUGGCCCAGAAGGUGGACCCCGCCCAGAAGGAGAAGGAGGAGGUCGGCACGUGGCUAACGAAUACGAUAGACACGCUGAACAUGCAGGUGGACCAGUUCGAGAGCGAGGUGGAGUCCCUCUCAGUCCAGACCAGG